rnacentral:rRNA from 1 species
AGAGUUCGAUUAUGGCUCAGAUUGAACGCUGGCGGCAGGCUUAACACAUGCAAGUCGAACGGUAACGUAAAGAAGCUUGCUUCUUUGAUGACGAGUGGCGGACGGGUGAGUAAUGCUUGGGAAUCUAGCUUAUGGAGGGGGAUAACUACGGGAAACUGUAGCUAAUACCGCGUAAUAUUGAAAGAUUAAAGUGUGGGACCUUCGGGCCACAUGCCAUAAGAUGAGCCCAAGUGGGAUUAGGUAGUUGGUGAGGUAAAGGCUCACCAAGCCGACGAUCUCUAGCUGGUCUGAGAGGAUGACCAGCCACGCUGGGACUGAGACACGGCCCAG